GAUGAAGAACGUAGCGAAAUGCGAUAAGUAAUGUGAAUUGCAGAAUUCAGUGAAUCAUCGAAUCUUUGAACGCACCUUGCGCCCUUUGGCUAUUCCAAAGGGCAUGCCUGUUUGAGUAUCAUGAACACCUCAACUCUCAUGGUUCGCCAUGAUGAGUUUGGACUUUGGGGGCCUUGCUGGCCUAUAGUCAGCUCCUCUAAAAUGAAUCAGCUUGCCAGUGUUUGGUGGCGUCGCAGGUGUGAUAAAUAUCUAUGCUUGUGGAUUUCCAUCAGAUAACCUUCAGUGAUGAAGGUUCACUGGGGCUCACAAAUGUCUCUCCUCAGUGGAGAUGGCUCUUUUGAAUGUUUGAUCUCAAAUCAGGUAGGACUACCCGCUGAACUUAAGCAUAUCCAAUAAGCGGAGGA
rnacentral:misc_RNA from 1 species